GCAGAUACAGCUCAGUGGUAGAGUGCGUGCUUAGCACGUAAGAGGUCCUGGGUUCAAUCCCCAGUACCUCUA
rnacentral:tRNA from 1 species